ACUCCUACGGGAGGCAGCAGUGGGGAAUAUUGCACAAUGGGGGAAACCCUGAUGCAGCCAUGCCGCGUGUGUGAAGAAGGCCUUGGUUGUAAAGCACUUUCUAGUAGGGAGGAAGGUAGUGUAGUUAACACCUGCAUUAUUUGUACGUUACCUACAGAAGAAGCACCGGCUAACUCCGUGCCAGCAGCCGCGGUAAGUACGGAGGGUGCGAGCGUUAAUCGGAAUUACUGGGCGUAAAGCGCAUGCAGGCGGCUUGUUAAGUCAGAUGUGAAAGCCCGGGGCUUAACCUCGGAAUUGCAUUUGAAACUGGCAGGCUAGAGUCUUGUAGAGGGGUUAGAAUUUCAGGUGUAGCGGUGAAAUGCGUAGAGAUCUGAAGGAAUACCAGUGGCGAACGGCGG
rnacentral:rRNA from 1 species